AUAGGAGUUAAGCACAAAAUUGUCAAAGAAGCAGAUCGAUGAUUUCCGCUGUAAAUUACAAAGAUAAACAUCUUGUUAUUGAUUCCUCUUAAUAUUCCAACACAUCUGGAUCUGGAGGAUAACCUAUUUUCCUUUUACCCAUUCUGUCAAAUUUUCCUUUACUUCUUCUCCAUUAUUCUUCACUAUAUAGAGAGAAUCUGGAGCUCAACUUUCCAAAACCUGGCGGAAGUUAUAUGGAGCUCAACUUUGCUGAGAUUUAUAAUAAAGUUUUUGAAGGUGAUCCAGCUACAUUUCCUAAGGCGAUUCACUGGUUUGAGGCUUGGAAAGAUUGUGAAUUUGGUGAUUUGUGGUUGAAGGAAUUGGAAGGCAAAGGAGAAGGUGAUUUAAACCAACAUUGUUUAAAUCUGGAUCUCAACUUUGUUGGAUUUAGAAGGAGAAGUAAUAUUGGAA
rnacentral:misc_RNA from 1 species